rnacentral:rRNA from 1 species
AUUGAACGCUGGCGGCAUGCUUUACACAUGCAAGUCGAACGGCAGCACGGGUGCUUGCACCUGGUGGCGAGUGGCGGACGGGUGAGUAAUACAUCGGAACGUGUCCUGAAGUGGGGGAUAACGCAUCGAAAGAUGUGCUAAUACCGCAUAAUCUCUAAGGAGAAAAGUAGGGGAUCGAAAGACCUUAUGCUUUUGGAGCGGCCGAUGUCUGAUUAGCUAGUUGGUAAGGUAAUGGCUUACCAAGGCGACGAUCAGUAGUUGGUCUGAGAGGACGGCCAGCCACACUGGGACUGAGACACGGCCCAGACUCCUACGGGAGGCAGCAGUGGGGAAUUUUGGACAAUGGGCGCAAGCCUGAUCCAGCAAUGCCGCGUGAGUGAAGAAGGCCUGGUGUAAGACUCUUUCUAGUUGAAAGAAAAAAUAACAAUAGACUAAUAAA